rnacentral:rRNA from 1 species
UACAGAGGUCUCAAGCGUUGUUCGGAUUCAUUGGGCGUAAAGGGUGCGUAGGCGGCGGGGUAAGUCGGGUGUGAAAUCUCAGAGCUCAACUCUGAAACUGCACUCGAUACUGCCGUGCUUGAGGACUGGAGAGGAGACUGGAAUUUACGGUGUAGCGGUGAAAUGCGUAGAUAUCGUAAGGAAGACCAGUGGCGAAGGCGGGUCUCUGGACAGUUCCUGACGCUGAGGCACGAAGGCCAGGGGAGCAAACGGG